UCCUUAGAUGUUCUGGGCCGCACGCGUACUACACUGAUGCAAUCAAUAAGUCACCUACUCUGAAGAGACGUGGGUAAUCUUCUUAAACUGCAUCGUGCUUGGGAUAGAUCUUUGCAAUUGUAGAUCUUGAACGAGGAAUUCCUAGUAAGCAUGGGUCAUCAGCCCAUGUUGAUUACGUCCCUGCCCUUUGUACACACCGCCCGUCGCUCCUACCGAUUCGAGUGGUUCGGCGAAUUAUCCGGACCGGCCUCCGGGCUGGGAAGUUUUGUAAGCCAUAUCACUUAGAGGAAGGAUAAGUCGUAACA
rnacentral:rRNA from 1 species